UACGUAGGGGGCAAGCGUUGUCCGGAUUUAUUGGGCGUAAAGAGCUCGUAGGCGGCUCGGUAAGUCGGGUGUGAAAACUCUAGGCUCAACCUAGAGACGCCACCCGAUACUGCUGUGGCUAGAGUCCGGUAGGGGAGCAUGGAAUUCCUGGUGUAGCGGUGAAAUGCGCAGAUAUCAGGAGGAACACCAGUGGCGAAGGCGGUGCUCUGGGCCGGUACUGACGCUGAGGAGCGAAAGCGUGGGGAGCAAACAGG
rnacentral:rRNA from 1 species